rnacentral:rRNA from 1 species
UCGGGAAUUUUGGGCAAUGGGCGAAAGCCUGACCCAGCAACGCCGCGUGAAGGAUGAAGUAUUUCGGUAUGUAAACUUCGUAAGAAUAGGAAGAAUAAAUGACGGUACUAUUUGUAAGGUCCGGCUAACUACGUGCCAGCAGCCGCGGUAAUACGUAGGGACCAAGCGUUGUUCGGAUUUACUGGGCGUAAAGGGCGCGUAGGCGGUGUGUCAAGUCAGUUGUGAAAUCUCCGAGCUUAACUCGGAACGGUCAGAUGAUACUGCUUUGCUAGAGUGCAGAAGGGGCAAUCGGAAUUCUUGGUGUAGCGGUGAAAUGCGUAGAUAUCAAGAGGAACACCUGAGGUGAAGACGGGUUGCUGGGCUGACACUGACGCUGAGGCGCGAAAGCCAGGGGAGCAAACGGGAUUAGAUACCCAGGUAGUCCCUGAGCGGGCUGGCAAGGCGCAU